GAAACUCGGGCUAAUACCGCAUGAGCCCUUCGGGGGAAAGCAGGGGAUCUUCGGACCUUGCGCUAUUGGAUGAGCCUAUGUCUGAUUAGCUUGUUGGUGGGGUAAUGGCCUACCAAGGCAACGAUCAGUAGCUGGUCUGAGAGGACGAUCAGCCACACUGGGACUGAGACACGGCCCAGACUCCUACGGGAGGCAGCAGUGGGGAAUAUUGGACAAUGGGCGCAAGCCUGAUCCAGCAAUGCCGCGUGUGUGAAGAAGGCCUGCGGGUUGUAAAGCACUUUCAGUGGGGAGGAAAAGCUCAAGAUUAAUACUCUUGAGUCUUGACGUUAUCCACAGAAGAAGCACCGGCUAACUCUGUGCCAGCAGCCGCGGUAAUACAGAGGGUGCAAGCGUUAAUCGGAAUUACUGGGCGUAAAGCGCACGUAGGCGGUUUGUUAAGUCGGAUGUGAAAGCCCCGGGCUCAACCUGGGAACUGCAUUCGAUACUGGCAGGCUUGAGUAUGGUAGAGGGAAGUGGAAUUCCGGGUGUAGCGGUGAAAUGCGUAGAUAU
rnacentral:rRNA from 1 species